rnacentral:siRNA from 1 species
AUGGGUUUGCUUGGUGAGACCACA